rnacentral:tRNA from 1 species
CUGCCCGUAGCACAGCUGGAUAAUGCCUCCGACUCCGACUCGGAAGAUCACGAGUUCGAAUCUCGUCGGGCAGG